AACGAACGCUGGCGGCAUGCCUAACACAUGCAAGUCGAACGAGACCUUCGGGUGUAGUGGCGCAUGCGGGCGUAACGCGUCGGAACCGGCCCGUAGGUUCUGAAUAACUCUCCGAAAGGGGUGCUAAUGCCGGAUAAUGUCUGCGGACCAAGGAUCUAUCGCCCUGGGAGGGGCCCGCGUUGGUUGAGCUAGUUGCUAGGGUAUAAGCCUACCACGGCGAGGAUCCAUAGCUGGUCUGAGAGGAUGAUCCGCCACACUUGGAGUAGGACACGGCCGGGAAUCCUACGCGAGGCAGGCAUGCGGAAUACUAGCCUACCGCCUAAGGGCUGAACCAGCACGGGCGGGAGAGCGCUGUAGUCCUUAGAGUUGUACAGCUCUUUUACCCGGGAUGAUACUGACAGUACCGGGAGAAUAAGCUCCGGCUAACUCCGUG
rnacentral:rRNA from 1 species